rfam:Hipposideros bat coronavirus HKT10 isolate SL12A, complete genome.
GAGCAAGGGGCUCUAGUGCAGCUCAACUAGAGCCCUGCAAUGGCACUGACACUGAUCAUUGUGUCAGAGCAUUUG